UUACUCUGCCUAUUUCAUAAACGACAUACGCUCGUUUCCAGAGUCGUGUUUUCAAAGAGGCUGCAUGUCAGACUGCAUGUAAAGGCGACCCCGGAGUGAAAGAAACUGCGUGUCAAACAUGUCCAGUGGGUCUGCAUCAUGCCGCUGUACAAGUUAAUGUGAAGCCCUUCAGGAGAAGUAAGGGCACCCAGGCCAGGCCCAGGCGUGCAGUGUGUGCCGAGGACUCAAGCUCCCACCUUGAGGGGAAUGAGAGUAGCACUGAUGGGGAAAGUGCAGACGAGGUGGUCGUGAAGUUGGAGUGCCUGCUACAGCUGUUCCAGAAGUGCUUAGCGUGCUGCAGUGAGUGCAGCAUCAGUACGGAGCGUGACGGCUGGUUCUUCUACGUCACGCAGAAGUGUCAGCAGUGCCACUACAGCAGGAACUGGGUCAGCCACCCGACCGACCAGAUCAUCAGAGACCCAGCAGACA